AACUGGAGUUAUUCAACCAAUGAUGUUUAACAAAACAACUGUAAUAUCAGCCUUGUGGUAAUAUGAUUAAAAUUUAUUUUCACUAACUUGCUCUCAAAUAACCCAACUAGUAAUACAAAUAUUUUUGUUUGAUUCGACUCAGUGUGACUGCAGGCACCUGCUAAUCUUGAAUCAGACCGCACAUCAUAGUGCUCAAACGCUAUACUGUGUGUGCAUGCAAGAUACACUUUAUUGUCACAACUUAAUUAGUGCCUAAGUUUGAUUAGUUCAUGCACUGUGCCAAGCUGAGCAUGUACAGAGCGCACUAAAAAAAACAAAUACCUGUGCAGAUAUGUGUAUAUCAGUCCUGUCAAGGUGAGACGCUACUUAAUUUCCCUUUUACUUUCUUUCAGAUGCUCUUAUUUGGGGUCUGAACAACGGCAACACCUCACACAUCCUUUUCAAAAGUCCAGUGUAUCUGUGUGAGAUUAAGUCCUACACAAGCCCUGAGGCCUAUUGGCGCUGGUGCUUUGCUCCAGAUUCCGUAGCAUGAAGCAGUUAAGAGUCUACAACUUCCCCUGUAUGGGACGCCAGUCCGACACAGGGUACUUCCCCAGCCAAAGCCGGUCCCCAUUUACAGAUGGUUGGACUGAAACCAUGCAAAUUAAGGGUCUAAUUUCCACUUGGGCAUUCCAAACAUUUGUACAUUUAUUAAGGGCCCCUUCACACAUAACACGGCGUUCGGCGAAAGACGCAGAAACUGGAAGAAAAUUCGCAAACCAAAAACGAAAUGGGAAACGUGAAAAAUUCCACCUGCUGUUGGGACAGACACAGUUGGACAGGUGUGCACAAUACCGUGGGGAAAUCCUCCAGUGAUAUGCGCCUCAUAGUGAUUUUCAUGUUACAUAUACUCCGCACGCAUACAAAUUAAAAACAUUGUACUAUCUGUCUUAAAAUCUUGCCACGUGGCAGGAAAAUUGUGUUGCAUUUAUAUUUAAAGGACAUUUUGCUGUUAAAGAUGCAGUUCUCAAAAAGAUAAAUUAUUCAUCCCUAAACUAAGCCCUCAAAUUUAUGAAAUGUAACUUAUUCCAACUCUGAUAAUUGUAAAAUUUAACUUUAAGGCGGAUUGUGGCUCGAGGCAACUGCAGACUCCUUGGAAAA